CUCAGAACCUAGUGGGACUCAAGAUAGGGCUUUCCCACCCAGGUUAUAUCUACAUGGACGCAGGUCCCAAAUACAGAAUAAAAGGGCCAGAGUCCACAGAGCUCACACAUAGUCUUCUCCUGAGGUGUGAAAACCAGUGCUGCUCAUACCUGAUCCUGAGAGACAAUCCAAGAAAAUGUCUUCUGAAACAGAAAAUGUUGCUGCAUUCUCUACAUUUCAACAAUCCACAGCACAUCCUGCACAAUGUCCUCCACCAUGUCCUCCAACAUACCAGUGCUGG